UACGUAGGGCGCGAGCGUUGUCCGGAUUUAUUGGGCGUAAAGAGCUCGUAGGCGGCUUGUUGCGUCGACUGUGAAAACCCGCGGCUUAACUGCGGGCUUGCAGUUGAUACGGGCAGGCUAGAGUUCGGUAGGGGAGACUGGAAUUCCUGGUGUAGCGGUGAAAUGCGCAGAUAUCAGGAGGAACACCAAUGGCGAAGGCAGCUCGCUGGAACGGUACUGACGCUGAGGCGCGAAAGCGUGGGGAGCGAACAGG
rnacentral:rRNA from 1 species